UAAACCUUCUGAUCAUUAUAUUUCACUAGAUGACCUCGUUGAGCAGACUUGGCAACUCCAUACAUGGAUCUCCAAUGCAGGUGAUGUGUUACCAUCCUAAAUUGGCUGCCUUGGAUAGUAGAGUGCCCAAAUGGCUGGAAUAUUUACCCUUAAAUAUAACAUAAUUCUCAUUUAGGUCUGGUAUUGUAUGCUGAUUUACAUUGUGUGUUGGCAGCUUGAUUUCCUCUCCAG
rnacentral:misc_RNA from 1 species